rnacentral:rRNA from 1 species
CUAGCAUUAGACAAAGCCAUUGAAGGAUGCCUAGGAAUUUAUUCUUGGACGAUAUUAAUAUCGAAAUUAUAAACUGAGCUUUAAAGAGUCAAUAAGGUUUAUUUAUCCAUUUUUGAAAACGAAUAAAAUAUAUUUGUUAUGACUUUAGGGAAGUGAAACAUCUCAGUACCUGAAGUAUUUAAAUCAAACGAGAAUACGUUAGUAGUGGUGAGCGAAAAUGUAUAAGGCCUUAAAAAUUAGAAGUUAAUUGUAAGAAUACCCAAUUGGAAAUUGGUGGAGCCUUAGAGGGUGAUUGCCCCGUAUUACGAAUCUUCUUUUGAUUGUGAGUAGAGCGGAGCUUGUGUAACUUUGCUUGAAUACAGUAGAACCACCUACUAAGCCUUUUAAAUAUAAAUUACCGAUAGUGAACAAGUACCGUGAGGGAAACGGUUAAAAAGAACUUCUUAAAGAAAAUUUAAAAGAUACUGAAAUUAAUGGCUGAACAGCAGUCGGAGCAUUUAGUGACGGCGUACCUUUUGCAUAAUGGGUCAGCGACUUAAUUUAUCUAGCAAACCUAAAUUUUUAAAGUUAGGUGCAGCGAAAGCAAGCUUUAAUAGGGCGUUAAGUUAGAUAAAUUAGACCCGAAGCCAAGUGAUCUAACCAUGAGCAGGUUGAAGGUAGCGUAAUACACUACUGGAGGACCGAACCGACGUCUGUUGAAAGAGACGCGGAUGACUUGUGGUUAGGAGUGAAAGGCUAAACAAACUUGGUGAUAGCUGGUUUUCUACGAAAUCUAUUUAGGUAGAGUGAGGUACGUUAAGUUCAGCAGGUAGAGCACUAAAUAAGCUAGGGAUUUCGAUAAGAAUAUUUUGAACUUAUUGAAACUCCGAAUGGCUAAACUGUAAAUACUUUAAUCAGACUGCGAGUGCGAAGAUUCGUUGGUCAAGGGGGGAACAGCCCCUACUGUAAGUUAAGGUCCUGAAGUUAAUUCUAAAUAAUUAAGACUGCUCUUUUACGUUUAAUGUUAGCAGGUUGGCUUAGAGGCAGCCAUCCUUUAAAGAAAGCGUAACAGCUCACUAACAAUUUGUUUUAGAGUUUCAACAAUAAUUGGUUUUAUAGAUUUAUUCCGAAACUACAGAUUUUUAAUGGUAGUAGAAUGAACUGUGCGCUUUGAAGUUAAGAUGUAAAUUUUAAUUGAGCCCUCUGUUUUAAGUAUGCUGACAUGAGUAGCGCAAAUAAUGUUUUAUUAAUCAUUAUCACCGAAUAGCUAAGGUUUUCUUCGCUAGGCUCGACCACGAAGAGUUAGUCGGCCCCUAAGUACUGAAUGAUAAUUCAGUAUAAUGGGUUUUGUAAUUAAUACUUGCAAACUAAUUUUAGUGACGUAUACUUUUCUUAUACUUUGUUCUAAUUAGAUGUAGUUCAUUGCGUAAGUCUGUAUACUAUAAAAUAACUAAAAUAGCGUAUCUGAUAAGGUAUGUUUAACCGUACUGUAAACCGACACAGGUGGCUAAGUAGAGAAUACUAAGGUGACUGAGAGAAGGGUAUUGAAGGAACUCGGCAAAAUGACUCUGUAACUUCGGGAGAAAGAGUACCCUUUUAUGCAUGAAAGCUGUCUAGAGUAACAUCUAGAGGUUUGUACUAGCUGAAAGGGUGGCACAGAAUAGGGGGUAGCGACUGUUUAAUAAAAACACAGGACUCUGCUAAAUCGUAAGAUGAUGUAUAGGGUCUGACACCUGCCCGGUGCUGGUAGGUAAAAAGGAUUGGUGCAAGCCAAGAAUUGAAGCCCCAGUAAACGGCGGCUGUAACUAUGACGGUCCUAAGGUAGCGAAAUUCCUUGUCGGUUAAUUGCUGACGCGCAUGAAUGGUGUAACGACUUCCCCACUGUCUCCAGUACCUACUCAGCGAAAUUGAAUUCUUCGUGAAGAUGCGGAGUACUCGCAGCAAGACGGAAAGACCCUAUGCACCUUUACUUCACCUUUGUACUGCUUUAGAAAAAUAAAUGUGUAGAAUAGACAUUAGCCUAUGAGAACUUAGCUCCGGCUAACUUUUGAGGCAAAAAUGAAAUAGUGUUCUUUUAUUUUUCUUGAGCUAAUUGAUAUUCAAGACAAUGCAUGGUUGGUAGUUUGACUGGGGCGGUCGCCUCCUAAAAAGUAACGGAGGCGUACAAAGGUAAACUCAAGAUUUUUUGAAUCUUUAGAGCGCAAUGGUAUAAGUUUGCUUGACUGUUAGGCAGACACGCCAAACAGGGACGAAAGUCGGUCAUAGUGAUCCGGUGAUAUUGUGUGGAAAAGUCAUCGCUCAACGGAUAAAAGGUACGCUAGGGAUAACAGGCUAAUGAUCCCCAAGAGUCCUCAUCGCCGGGAUCGUUUGGCACCUCGAUGUCGGCUCAUCACAUCCUGGAGCAGAAGUAGGUUCCAAGGGUUCGGCUGUUCGCCGAUUAAAGUGGUACGUGAGCUGGGUUUAAAACGUCGUGAGACAGUUUGGUCCCUAUCUACUGUGAGAAUGAGAAUAUUGAAGUCCUAAGCCUAGUACGAGAGGACCGGAUGUUUAAAGUUUAACUAUUUUUGGGUGUAUCAAUUGUUAUCCAGCUGUUGCACUAGUAGCAUUGCUGGGACGCUACAUACAUCAUUUUUUAACUGCUGAAAUAAUAUAAGUAGGAAAGAUUCUUUAAUAUUCUUAUGCAUGAAAGUCUUAUACCAAGACGGGAUAGGUUAGCGGUGUAAACAUCGCAAUAUGUCAGCUAGCUAAUACUAAUUUUUAUGUCGUUUGCGGAUU